rfam:Triticum aestivum genome assembly, contig: Triticum_aestivum_CS42_TGACv1_scaffold_331550_4BS
GUAGUAUUCCCACCAUCCCAAAAUUCUUGUCUUACAUUUGUUUAGAUACGGUGUAUCUAACACUAAAAUGUAACUAGAUACAUCCGUAUUUAGACAAAUUUAAGACAAGAAUUUUGGGACAGAGGGAGUACAAA